UACGUAGGGUGCAAGCGUUAAUCGGAAUUACUGGGCGUAAAGAGUGCGUAGGCGGCUAUGUAAGACAGAUGUGAAAUCCCUGGGCUUAACCUAGGAACUGCAUUUGUGACUGCAUGGCUAGAGUGUGUCAGAGGGGGGUAGAAUUCCACGUGUAGCAGUGAAAUGCGUAGAGAUGUGGGGGAAUACCGAUGGCGAAGGCAGCCCCCUGGGAUAACACUGACGCUCAUGCACGAAAGCGUGGGGAGCAAACAGG
rnacentral:rRNA from 1 species